UUUUAAAUAAUUAAUUAUUUAUUUUUGAAUUUAGUUUAAAUUAAAUAAAUUAAUAUAGGUUAGAUUAGGUUUUAGUAUAAAUUUAGAAUUAAUUGAAUAUUAUUAAAUUUAUUGUAAAGAAAUUGAAAUUUUUAAAGAAUUAAAAGUAGAUUUAAUUUAUUGUACCUUUUGUAUCAGGAGUUAUUAAAUAAAUUUAUUAAAAUUUAAUUUAUCUCGAAUCUUAAAGAUUUAAAUUUUUAUAUUAGUUAGUGUUGAAUAGUUAUUAAUAAUAAAUAUUUAGUAGUGAAAUGUUAAUCGAUUUAAGUGAUAUCUAGUUUUUUUAGAAAUGAAUUUAAUUCAAUAUUUAGAUUAUUAUAUAAUUGUUUAUUAUAAUUAAUAUAAUUAUUUAAAUGGAAUUAUUUUAGGGAUAAGCUUAAAAUAAAGUUAAUAAUUUAAUUAUUUAUUUAUAUUAAAAUAUUUAUAAUAAUAGAAAUUUUUAAUAAGUAUUUUAUAAUUUAUAAAUUAAUUAUAAUUAAUUUAAAUUUAAAUUUUAAUUUUUAUAAAAAAAAUAUUAUAAUUAAUAAAAUAAAGUUAUAAUGAUAAUAUUAGUAAAAAGAUUUGUUUAAUUAAUUUAUUUGUGUAAAAAUUAUAUUAAAGAAUUUAACAAAUAUAUUAUUCACCUGUUUAACAAAAACAUGGUUUAUAGAAGUUAAUUAUAAAUCGGUUUCUGCCCAAUGAUAUUUUAAAUGGCUGCGGUAUAUUGACCGUACAAAGGUAGCAAAAUCAAUAGUUUUUUAAUUGGAAACUGGAAUGAAAGAGCUGAUGAAAUAAUAAUUAUUUCAAUAUUAAUAAUUGAAUUUAAAUUUUGAGUUAAAAUGCUUAGAUUUUUUUAAAAGACAAGAAGACCCUAUAGAAUUUAAUAAAUUUUAAAUAUAAUUUUAUAAAUAUAAAUUAUAUUUUUAUAUUUAAUUAUAUUUAAUUGGGAGGAUUAUAAAAUUUAAUAAACUUUUAUUGUGUAAAAACAUUGAUAAAUGAAUUUUUGAUUAUUUUUAUAAUUUUAAGAAAGAAUUACCUUAGGGAUAACAGCGUAAUAUUUUUGGAGAGAUCAAAUUGAUAAAAAUGUUUGCGACCUCGAUGUUGAAUUAUGAUAUAAUUUAAAUGCAGGAGUUUAAAUUGUUAGUCUGUUCGACUAUUAAAAUCAUACAUGAUUUGAGUUCAGAUCGGUGAAAGCCAGAUCGGUUUUUAUCUUUAAAUAUAUAAUAAUUUUUUUGUACGAAAGGACUAAAAAUUAAAAUAAAAUUUUUAAUAUAAUUGAAUAAAAUUAAUUAUUAUAUUUAUUUAUAUUUUAAAUAUAAUUACUUUAAUAAUUUUAUUGAU
rnacentral:rRNA from 2 species